rnacentral:misc_RNA from 1 species
GAUGAAGAACGUAGCGAAAUGCGAUAAGUAAUGUGAAUUGCAGAAUUCAGUGAAUCAUCGAAUCUUUGAACGCACAUUGCGCCCGCCAGUAUUCUUGCGGGCAUGCCUGUUCGAGCGUCAUUACAACCCUCAGGCCCCCGGGCCUGGCGUUGGGGAUCGGCGGAAGCCCCCUGCGGGCACAACGCCGUCCCCCAAAUACAGUGGCGGUCCCGCCGCAGCUUCCAUUGCGUAGUAGCUAACACCUCGCAACUGGAGAGCGGCGCGGCCACGCCGUAAAACACCCAACUUCUGAAUGUUGACCUCGAAUCAGGUAGGAAUACCCGCUGAACUUAAGCAUAUCAAUAAGCGGAGGA